rnacentral:rRNA from 1 species
GGCGAGCGAACCGGGAAGAGCCCAACUUGAAAAUCUCCCUUUGGAGAAUUGUAGUCUAUAGAAGUACCCUCUGCAGCGAGGGAAGCCCAAGUCUCCUGGAAAGGGGCGUCCGAGAGGGUGAGAACCCCGUAGGCUUCUCCUCAGCUUCUCCACGAGGUGCUUUCGCAGAGUCGGGUUGCUUGGGAAUGCAGCCCUAAUUUGGUGGUAAAUCCCAUCUAAGGCUAAAUAUUGGCGAGAGACCGAUAGCGAACAAGUACCGUGAGGGAAAGAUGAAAAGAACUUUGAAAAGAGAGUUAAAAAGUGCUUGAAAUUGUUGAGGGGGAAGCGAUUGGAGGCUCAAGUGCCCUCAGGCUUAUGCGUCCUUAACGGGCCGCUGUAUGUGCUGAGGGCUGGCCAGCAAGGGCUGGACCUGUGGGAUAACAGCCGGGGUUGCUACCCGGCCUAUACCACGGGACUGGCCAAGGCAAAAUACUGCCCUUGUCCUUUGGAACUGCAGUAUCAAGUUGCUGGCUUAAGGUUUCCAAUUGACCCGUCUUGAAACACGGACCAAGGAGUCUAACAUGUAUGCGAGUUGGUGGGUGAAAAACCCAUGAAGCGCAAGUAACCUGACUGGUGGGAUGGCCUGUGCCUGCACCAUCGACCGACCAUGAGCUUCUGCGAAAGGUUUGAGUCCGAGCAUACCUGUUGGGACCCGAAAGAUGGUGAACUAUGCCUGAGCAGGGCGAAGCCAGAGGAAACUCUGGUGGAGGCUCGUAGAUGUGCUGACGUGCAAAUCGCUUUUCGGACUUGGGUAUAGGGGCGAAAGACUAAUCGAACCAUCUAGUAGCUGGUUCCCUCCGAAGUUUCCCCCAGGAUAGCUGGAGCUUGUAUCAGUUCAGUCAGGUAAAGCGAAUGAUUAGAGGUUCGGGGGAUGAAACAUCCUUCACCUAUUCUCAAACUUUAAAUAGGCUGGGCGCCCAGGUUGCUUGAUUGAACCUGCGGCAAUCAAUGAGAGCUCCAAGUGGGCCAUUUUUGGUAAGCAGAACUGGCGAUGCGGGAUGAACCGAUAGUCGAGUUAAGGUGCCCAACUGCACGCUAACCUAGAUCCCACAAAGGGUGUUGAUUGAUAUAGACAGCAGGACGGUGGUCAUGGAAGUCGAAAUCCGCUAAGGAGUGUGUAACAACUCACCUGCCGAAUCAAUUAGCCCCGAAAAUGGAUGGCGCUGAAGCGUGCGACCUAUACUCGGCCAUGGAAGCAAGUGCGAGGCUUCCAUGAGUAGGAGGGCGUGGAGAUUGUUGCGCAGCCCGUGGCGUGAGCCGGGGUGGAACGGUCUCUAGUGCAGAUCUUGGUGGUAGUAGCAAAUACACAAAUGAGAACUUUGUGGACUGAAGUGGGGAAAGGUUCCAUGUGAACAGCAAUUGGACAUGGGUUAGUCGGUCCUAAGAGAUGGGGUAAUCCUGUAUCAAGAGCGCAAUCGCGCUGCCCAUCGAAAGGGAAAAGGGUUAAGAUUCCCUUACCUGGCUAGGGCGGCUGACGGUAACGUUAACGAGCCCGCAGACAUCGGCAUUGGCCCUGGGAAGAGUUCUCUUUUCUUUUUAACAGCUCGAAGGCCCUGGAAUCGAAUCAUUCGGAGAUAGGGCUCAGAAGCUGGUAAAGCACUGCACGUCUCGCAGUGUCCGGCGCGCCAAUGACGGUCCUUGAAAAUGCGGGGGAGCAACUACCGAUCCUACCAGGCCGUACUCAUAACCGCAUCAGGUCUCCAAGGUGAACAGCCUCUAGUCGAUAGAAUAAUGUAGAUAAGGGAAGUCGGCAAAAUGGAUCCGUAACUUCGGGAAAAGGAUUGGCUCUGAGGGCUGGGCCUAGGGAUCUGCGUCUUGAAACCCAGGACUGUCGAUGGGCUGCUGCGCGGCUCACGCUGCAACGCGGACCGUCGCGUGUCUCGGGCGGAGGGGCGCAGGAAGCUUCGGCGGGCUCUAGGCGACGAACAGCCAGCUCAGAACUGGUACGGACAAGGGGAAUCCGACUGUUUAAUUAAAACAAAGCAUUGUGAUGGUCUGUAAAGAUGUUGACACAAUGUGA